UACAGAGGGGGCAAGCGUUGUUCGGAAUUACUGGGCGUAAAGGGCGCGUAGGCGGCCUGUUAAGUCGAACGUGAAAUCCCCGGGCUCAACCCGGGAACUGCGUCCGAUACUGGCAGGCUUGAAUCCGGGAGAGGGAUGCGGAAUUCCAGGUGUAGCGGUGAAAUGCGUAGAUAUCGGAAAGAACACCAACGGCGAAAGCACUCUGCUGGGCCGACACUGACACUGAGAGACGAAAGCUAGGGGAGCGAAUGGG
rnacentral:rRNA from 1 species